UAGGCAUACAGUUAACACUGAGAAUUG
rnacentral:piRNA from 1 species